CCUACGGGAGGCAGCAGUGAGGAAUAUUGGUCAAUGGGCGCAAGCCUGAACCAGCCAAGUCGCGUGAGGGAUGACGGCCCUAUGGGUUGUAAACUUCUUUUAUAUGGGAAUAAAACGUUCCACGUGUGGGAUUUUGUAUGUACCAUAUGAAUAAGGAUCGACUAACUCCGUGCCAGCAGCCGCGGUAAUACGGAGGAUCCGAGCGUUAUCCGGAUUUAUUGGGUUUAAAGGGAGCGUAGGUGGAUUGUUAAGUCAGUUGUGAAAGUUUGCGGCUCAACCGUAAAAUUGCAGUUGAAACUGGCAGG
rnacentral:rRNA from 1 species